CAGCUGCUGCCUGUUUGCUGGUGGAGCAAACGCACGUCCAGUAGGUGCCCAGCAAACGCUUACUGAGUGACUGAGACGGGGAAGGGGCUCCCGCGGCUAGGGGCGGCCGCCCGGGCCCAGGCUGGGCGCCCACCUGUGGCCCUGCUCCCACCCGGGCCGAGCGGCGCGCUCAGGGGCGGCGGCCUUGUCCCCGAGGACGGCCCUGGCGCAGUCGGCCUCCCGCGGCACCGCGCGCUGCGGGCCGGGGCGCGACGCUGUUCCCCGCGGCGGCGAAGCGACCUCCGUCCGUUCCUCCAACAAGCGUUAGUCCUGCGUCUGCUCCGUGACGGGCGCCGGGGGAUCCGGCGGGGACAGUGCGCAGUGCCUGGCUGACAAGAUCCGAGCAAAAAACGGCCACCUUAAAAUGCCAUUUAGCCAAAUCCGACUUAUUUUGCAAGAAAAUAAAAAGGUUUAACCCCCUGGAAUGGACGGGAAGGGGCAGGGGAGACAAGUUACCUUAAAGAAGAGUUCCAGGGAAGACUUGGCAGAGCUCGUCCUCGUUAGUAUAGUGACCUUGGCAGUCUCGGUGACUGACCUGCUGCUUUAGACCCUGUUACAUGCAACUUCCUGAGAGCUUGGUCACAGGACUGCAAGAAAGACCAUAGUCCAGCUGUGCUGGAAAGCUGGUCCUGCAUCCUUGCAGGGAAUAGGCCAGAAAAAGGUCCUCGGUUUGUGAGAUGGACAACUGGACUUGCCGGGCUGACAUUUCUUGUCUUGCUCCAGCCCCAGCAUCUGACUUUGGAAGAUGCUUAUGAACUUGAGAUAUUUUCUCCCCCUAAAGCAGUCAGACUCUGUGACCUUAAAGCAUCACCGGUGUGCAGCUGCUGCACCCCACA